AGAGGAGGAGGAGGAGGAGGAGGAGGAGGAAGCGGAGACGGGAAGGUCACUUCCUCCCCCUUUUUGGGAAAGUUGGGAGGGGUCUGGCUCACCAGGGAAGCCUCGGCUGCAGAGGGUUCUAGUUGUUGUGACGGAAGCAGAAGCCUUUUGUGUUCGGGAUCUCUGAGCACCGGUGCAGAGCGAUCCAGCAGACUCUCAUCUGUGAGACCAGAGCAACAAGAGAGAGGCAUCAGUUGAAUCGCCAGGAAACCCGUUGACCUUGUGAGACAGAGAAGGAGCAAGAAUGAAAGUGAAGCUGGAGCAAGGAAAUCCUUUGGAGUCGUACGGGGCUCCGCUUGAGCACGAAGAGAAGUUUAGCGUGCAAAGCCAAGCAGGCGACGAAUCUAGGGAAAGGGGCGGGAAGAGACCCUCACGCCUUGGAGGCCCGGGGCAGCGGGGAAUUCUGGGUAGGAAGCGUGCAGGAGAUCCUGGCCAGGGGACACAAUCCGCUCAAAGGGACCAUACCAGCGUUUCAAGCAUUUCUGCUACCAGGAGGCCGAGGGGCCCCGCGAGGUCUGCAG